AGAAGUUCGAGGAACCAAGAGAGAGAAAGGGAAAAUGUGAAGAGAGAAUGUGAUUUUUGAAGGAGAUAAAGGGGAAAGAAGAUGGAAUCAAGAGUUUGAGACUUUCAUAGGCUUGGAUUUUAAGAUUUCUUCAAGAUUGAGGUUUGAGCUUGGAUUGAAGUGUGGAGAUAGGAGGAGAGGUGGUUGAGCUAAGGAUUGAAGAUUUGGGGCAAAGUUGAUUGGGCUUGGAGGAGUUGUGGUAUUUGGCCUAAACGAGGUGAUAUAGGUACUAGCGCUAGUGCUCCGACUACGGAUCAGCAGGGAGAAGCGUGACGCGGAUGACCUGCACUUGGGGUGGUUUGUGGUUUUAUUUUAUGUGGUGUUUGAGUAGUCUUUGGCUUAAGUGUAUAUUGGGAUAUAUACGUAAUGUGUGGGAUGAAUGAUGAUUUUGGAUGGUUAAGCUUGAUGCCUUGAUAUGUAUGUGUGUAUGAUGAUUUAUGUUUGGGAUGAUAUGGCCGGAGGCCUUGGAUAUUUAGUUUGGUGGUAUGGAAAAUUGU